UUACGGCCAUAUUAAGUUGAAACAACGGUUCCUAUACAAACAUCGAAGUUAAACAACGUCGAGCCUGGUCAAUACCUAGAUGGGUGACUGCUUAGGAAUACCAAGUGCUGUAAG